UUAGAGUUUGAUCAUGGCUCAGAUUGAACGCUGGCGGCAUGCCUUACACAUGCAAGUCGAACGGCAGCGCGGGGCAACCUGGCGGCGAGUGGCGAACGGGUGAGUAAUAUAUCGGAACGUACCCUGGAGUGGGGGAUAACGUAGCGAAAGUUACGCUAAUACCGCAUACGAUCUACGGAUGAAAGUGGGGGCUCGCAAGACCUCAUGCUCGUGGAGCGGCCGAUAUCUGAUUAGCUAGUUGGUGGGGUAAAGGCCUACCAAGGCGACGAUCAGUAGCUGGUCUGAGAGGACGACCAGCCACACUGGGACUGAGACACGGCCCAGACUCCUACGGGAGGCAGCAGUGGGGAAUUUUGGACAAUGGGGGCAACCCUGAUCCAGCAAUGCCGCGUGAGUGAAGAAGGCCUUCGGGUUGUAAAGCUCUUUUGUCAGGGAAGAAACGGUGAAGGCGAAUAUCCUUUGCUAAUGACGGUACCUGAAGAAUAAGCACCGGCUAAUCUACGUGCCAGCAGCCGCGGUAAUACAAUGGAAU
rnacentral:rRNA from 1 species